UACGAAGGGGGCUAGCGUUGUUCGGAAUCACUGGGCGUAAGGGCGCGUAGGCGGCUUUAUAAGUCGGGGGUGAAAGCCUGUGGCUCAACCACAGAAUUGCCUUCGAUACUGUAUGGCUUGAGACCGGAAGAGGUAAGUGGAACUGCGAGUGUAGAGGUGAAAUUCGUAGAUAUUCGCAAGAACACCAGUGGCGAAGGCGGACUUACUGGUCCGGUU
rnacentral:rRNA from 1 species